ACGGAUAAUAUCAUGAAGAAUAAGCAACACAGCUCACACGUGUCUAGCUGGUAUUAUAAAUAUCACAGGCAAUAUGCGCAGUGCGAAUAAUAAACUUGUACUCAAAAGAAUAGUAUAAAUUCUAUGCAACACAUGAAGAUCGGAUUUCUUCUACUUCAACUCUAUACGUAGAUGUAUACCUGCUGCUGUUUAAGCUACUGCAGUUGGGAUCCAGAACGCUGUGAUGUGGAUACCGAGUCCGUUCACGACGUCUGAAAGUAUGAGAUGCAGUACAUGAUACUAUACUGCACGAGAGACGAGACGUUUACUCUGCACAAAACCCACCAACGCAGCACGUGCUUUUCAACCGCCCAACUCAGCUUAUACAAGUGUGAUACAGGCCUUGCCUUAGGUCAAGUUGAUAAACAAAGAAACUGGAAGAAAAAAAUCUCUUUCCAUGUAAACGAUGAUAUAAGAAUAACGAUAAAAUUUACCUAGAGGGUUGCAUUGCUAAUCUUGCUCUGAUAUGUAUAAAUUUAGCUUUUAUGCUUCUUCCUUUACUUUUUCGUAUUCUGGAGCAUCCGGGCCAGCUGGUUUAGCAGAUAUUUUUAUUUGAACGUACCGCGCGCUGCAGAUAUCUGUCGAAUUAUUCUGACGUCAGGGCGACAUUCGAUCGGGUUUGUUAUGGAGACAGUAAAAGGAAUCUGUGUAUAUAAAAAUAUACGUCACAGCUGUUUCGACUAGAAAACGAGAAAAGACGUGAAGAUUUUGUAUUUAAAAAUACGAUGGUACGAAAUAAUGUCCGGCAUUUGGCAAGGAGCCGUUUUGGUACGGUUGCCAGGAAUAAAUACCCUGGAGUCUGCAGCAAAUUUUUGUUUUCACCUCACGAGGUCCAUCCU
rnacentral:misc_RNA from 1 species